rnacentral:lncRNA from 1 species
GUGUGCUCACCCUUCCUCUGUCUCUUUCUAUAGCUUUCUCUGGGUCGUCUGUUGCUGUCUCUCGUCUGCCCUGAUCUGUUGCUGUCUCUUAGUAUUCUAUGUUGCUGUCUCUUGUUUACUUUCCUCUCUCGUCCCCCCCGGUUGUAAAAUGUGUAAAAGUAAACAAUUGUUUUAAUAGUAAUUUCACAGGCUUUUUCACCUCACCAGCAAAUUCUUUGUAAACCAUGUUUUACUUUUUCACGGUCUGUAUUUCACCUCUUAUAAUUUGUGCAAAUAAAUCCAACUCAUUAGAAUCUAUAGAGCAGCUUGAAGUGAUACAGACUACUGUGUGCUUAACCCACCUCUGUUCUCUCUCCAUCUGCAUUCUUCUGUCACUUUCUCUGUGUUUUGCCUGUUGCUGUCUCAGUGUCUUGUUUGUUACUGUCUCCUUUGUCUAUCCUCUUCUGUUAUGGCCUGUUCUGUUCUUCUGGUGUCUCUCUCCAUCAUAUCAUAUUCUUCUGUUGCUGUCUCUAUGUCUCUUCUGGUUUCUCUCUCAAUCGCCUAUUCUUCAGUUGCUGUCUCUGUGUCUUGUCUGGUGUGUCUCUAUGCUUCUCUUCUGUUGCUGCCUCUGUGUCUCGUCUGGUGUCUCUCUCCAUCAUCUAUUUUUCUGUUGUUGUCUCUGUGUCUUGUCUCACGUGUCUCUUUAGCUGUGCAAUCCAAAACGGUCAAGGAGAUACUGGGGUAGCUUAACUUGUUUCGGGCCUGUGUUUUGGUGACCUAAAUCAUCCUCUUCCCUACCUCUGGCUGCUCCUGUUCUAAGUGCUCCAGUGGCCUGCUGUUCUCAUUUAUCCUCCUUUGCUCAUCUGAAAGGUAGCAAGGUAGAAUUUUAAAGGGUGACUGCACUUCCUGAUUUGGCCUCGUUUUAGAUGUGGUUCAUUAAGUGUGUGGUUUGAUGUGGGUUCUUGUGUGUGUGUUCACAGGUGAGAAUAGUUAGCUAAAGUAUUUUUACUUAAGUACUUUAUAUCACUGGAUAAAUAUUGUCCAACUGCAUGAACUUUACAACAACCAUGUGAUCAAAGGUCAUGAAGUUUAGACUGCAGUCAACUUACAUUGGCUGUGGUUCAAACUCAUAAAAGACACACCCUCGUCUUAUGCCCUUGGAGAAAUCCU